GAUGAAGAACGCAGCGAAAUGCGAUACUUGGUGUGAAUUGCAGAAUCCCGUGAACCAUCGAGUCUUUGAACGCAAGUUGCGCCCGAAGCCAUUAGGCCGAGGGCACGCCUGCCUGGGCGUCACACGUCGUUGCCCCCCAUCUACUCCUUCGGGAUUGCGGGGGGCGGAUGAUGGCCUCUCGUGCGCCUCGUCGCGCGGUUGGCCUAAAUGCCAAGUCCUCGGCGACGCACGCCACGACAAUCGGUGGUUGCGAAACCUCGGUUGCCUGUCGUGUGCGGUCGUCGCGCAUCGAGGGCUCGAAAAAAUUGCCGGGCUUCGGCUCGACUUUCAACGCGACCCCAGGUCAGGCGGGGUUACCCGCUGAAUUUAAGCAUAUCAAUAAGCGGAGGA
rnacentral:misc_RNA from 1 species